rnacentral:rRNA from 1 species
UGUGUAGGCGGUUCUUUAAGUUUGGUGUGAAAUCUCCCGGCUCAACUGGGAGGGAGCGCCGAAUACUGAGGGACUAGAGUACGGGAGAGGGAAGUGGAAUUCCUGGUGUAGCGGUGAAAUGCGUAGAUAUCAGGAGGAACACCGGUGGUGUAGACGGCUUUCUGGACCGUAACUGACGCUGAUACACGAAAGCGUGGGUAGCAAACAGGAUUAGAUACCCUGGUAGUCCACGCCCUAAACGAUGCAUAUUUGGUGUGGGCAGUUCAUUCUGUCCGUGCCGGAGCUAACGCGUUAAAUAUGCCGCCUGGGGAUACAGUCGCAAGGCUGAA